CCUACGGGCGGCAGCAGUGAGGAAUAUUGGACAAUGGGCGGAACCCUGAUCCAGCGACGCCGCGUGAGUGACGAAGUCCUUCGUUAUGUAAAGCUCUAUUAGCCGGGAAGAAAAUGACGGUACCUGAGUAAGACGCCACGGCUAACUACGUGCCAGCCGCCGGGGUAAUACGUAGGGGGCAAGAGUUAUCCGGAUUUGCUGGGUGUAAUGGGAGUGUAGACGGGAGUGCAGGUCUGGAGUGAAAGGCGGGGGCUCAACCCCCGGACUGCUCUUGAAACUGUACGGCUGGAGUGCAGGAGAGGUAAGUGGAAUUCGUGGUGUAGCGGUGAAAUGCGUAGAUAUUAGGAGGAACACC
rnacentral:rRNA from 1 species